rnacentral:rRNA from 1 species
UGGGGAAUAUUGCACAAUGGGCGCAAGCCUGAUGCAGCCAUGUCGCGUGUAUGAAGAAGGCCUUCGGGUUGUAAAGUACUUUCAGUCGGGAGGAAGGCGGUAAGGUUAAUAACCUCAUCAAUUGACGUUACCGACAGAAGAAGCACCGGCUAACUCCGUGCCAGCAGCCGCGGUAAUACGGAGGGUGCAAGCGUUAAUCGGAAGUACUGGGCGUAAAGCGCACGCAGGCGGUUGAUUGAGUCAGAUGUGAAAUCCCCGGGCUUAACCCGGGAAUUGCAUCUGAUACUGGUCAUCUAGAGCCUUGUAGAGGGGGGUAGAAUUCCAUGUGUAGCGGUGAAAUGCGUAGAGAUGUGGAAGAACACCGGUGGCGAAGGCGGCCCCCUGGACAAAGACUGACGCUCAGGUUCGAAAGCGUGGCGAGCAAACAGG